CAGCCGCCGCGGUAAAACGAAGGGUGCAAGCGUUAAUCGGAAUUACUGGGCGUAAAGCGCACGCAGGCGGUUUGUUAAGUCAGAUGUGAAAUCCCCGAGCUUAACUUGGGAACUGCAUUUGAAACUGGCAAGCUAGAGUCUUGUAGAGGGGGGUAGAAUUCCAGGUGUAGCGGUGAAAUGCGUAGAGAUCUGGAGGAAUACCGGUGGCGAAGGCGGCCCCCUGGACAAAGACUGACGCUCAGGUGCGAAAGCGUGGGGAGCAAACAGGAUUAGAUACCCGCGUAGUCCCUGUCUCUUAUAC
rnacentral:rRNA from 1 species